UAGGCUGACCGUGCUGGGUAAGGAGGCGGUUGGGGCUCCGGAGCGCUCCGAGAGGGCGGGAUGGGCAGAGAGGACCUGAAAAACGUGUUCCCACCCGAGGUCGCUGUGUUUGAGCCAUCAGAAGCAGAGAUCUCCCACACCCAAAAGGCCACACUGGUGUGCCUGGCCACAGGCUUCUACCCCGACCACGUGGAGCUGAGCUGGUGGGUGAACGGGAAGGAGGUGCACAGUGGGGUCAGCACAGACCCACAGCCCCUCAAGGAGCAGCCCGCCCUCAACGACUCCAGAUACUGCCUGAGCAGCCGCCUGAGGGUCUCGGCCACCUUCUGGCAGAACCCCCGCAACCACUUCCGCUGUCAAGUCCAGUUCUACGGGCUCUCGGAGAAUGACGAGUGGACCCAGGAUAGGGCCAAACCCGUCACCCAGAUCGUCAGCGCCGAGGCCUGGGGUAGAGCAGACUGUGGCUUCACCUCCGAGUCUUACCAGCAAGGGGUCCUGUCUGCCACCAUCCUCUAUGAGAUCUUGCUAGGGAAGGCCACCUUGUAUGCCGUGCUGGUCAGUGCCCUCGUGCUGAUGGCCAUGGUCAAGAGAAAGGAUUCCAGAGGCUAGCUCCAAAACCAUCCCGGGUCAUUCUUCAUCCACACCCAGGAUUCUCCUGUACCUGCUCCCAAUCUGUGUUCCUAAAAGUGAUUCUCACUCUGCUUCUCAUCUCCUACUUACAUGAAUACUUCCCUCUUUUUUCUGUUUCCCUGAAGAUUGAGCUCCCAACCCCCAAGUAUGAAAUAGGCUAAACCAAUAAAAAAUGGUGUGUUAGGCCUGGUUGCA